UUGCCUUUGGUGAUGUAGCUGCUAGGAGAAGCUUACCUUUUCAUGUAGUAAACAAUGCUUUUGAGGGUGGGUGAUAGCACCAGAGUAGGAGGGGCCUCUUGGGGUACUAGGUGACAGCUUACAUGACCUGGCCUGAUCCUCUUGUCUCUGUUGCUGUGGCCCAGCCACUGGUGCUGAAUUCACCCAGGGUACGGAUGCUAAAGCCCAGGAGGCUGCAGGAGGAGUGGGUUGUGGACUUUGAGGAGGGUGUGGCUUAUAUAUCCCCAGGCCUCCAAAGUUUGCCACAGAGGACAGCUGCCUCAGAGUUCUCAAAUCACCCAUCAACCAACCCUGAUCUCAACUAGCCUUUCAGAUCCUCACCAAGGAUGGGACCCGAGCCAUCUCAGACGACAGCCUGCCUCUUGCAGGUUUGGAUUGGCUGCUAUCCCAGCUUCCUUGAGAUUGACUACCAUUCACUGUUUCUCCAGUUUUCCUCCGAGAAGACCUGGCCCUCACCCCCAUGUUCCACAGCCAUUUCUGGACCAGUGGAAGCUACAGAAGCCAAAGCCCAUCCAUAGGCUGUUGUGCCAGCCGAAGGAUUCCAUAAGGUGGUCUGAGGACCAGAACCACACUUUUGUACCUAUAGCUGACACUUAGUGUCCACUACGGAGGCAGACCCUCUUAUACUUCCAGCCCAAAGCGAGAGGUCAAGGGAAGCUGGAGCGUUAAACGGGAGAACUGAAUGUUCGUACGGAGGGAGGAGCACAGGGAAACAUCCCUCAUCCCUCCUCAUUCCUGCCAGAACCUGCCUGUGGCUCAUUCCUGCAGGGACCUUACAGGUGGUAGAUACUCAAAGCUAGGGCUUCCGUUGGCCACAUGGUAAACACCACACCCCUUGCCCUUCAAUGCUAUAGUCUCAGGGACUUUAAUUCAUCUCUCCCCCGCUUACCCUUUCAUGAAUGCCUGGCAUCCUUUCUCGCCUUCUCCAGUUUCAGCCUUUCCUGAAGCUCUGGUGUACCACUGGCCCUUAAAUUUGAGCAGUCCAGAAGAACACUUGUCAUAGAAUGCAGUGGCAUAGAUGCCAAAUGCCUCCUGAACUGGGCAUCCAGCCUAUAGCAGGUCUACAAUGAAAAAGAGCAACACAUGAAACAGAAAGAAAAGAGAGGAAAAGCAUGCUGGGAUGCUUAAGAUUGUGUCUGAGGCAAGUGAUGGAAAAGAGGCUGUAGCAAGAGAUCAACACUAUUCAAGAGAACCCCCCUGUUCUGAUUGGAAUAAGAGGAAAGAUGCC